UACGUAGGUGGCAAGCGUUGUCCGGAAUUAUUGGGCGUAAAGCGCGCGCAGGCGGUCCUUUAAGUCUGAUGUGAAAUCCCGUGGCUUACCCACGGGCGGUCAUUGGAAACUGGGGGACUUGAGUGCAGAAGAGAAGAGCGGAAUUCCACGUGUAGCGGUGAAAUGCGUAGAGAUGUGGAGGAACACCAGUGGCGAAGGCGGCUCUUUGGUCUGUAACUGACGCUGAGGCGCGAAAGCGUGGGGAGCGAACAGG
rnacentral:rRNA from 1 species